CAGGUGCAGUUGUUGAAGGACCAGAUGGCAGCAGAGACGGCCGCUCGGAUGGAGGCUCAGGCCCGAGUUCACCAGUUACUGCUGCAGAACAGAGACCUGCUCCAGCACAUCACUGUCCUGGUGCAGCAUCUUAAAGAACUGGAGGCACAGUCACCAAAAACACCCACAGCACCAGGACAUACGUCUACUGAGCACGAUGGGCCAACGUCCAACUCGACAUCCAUCAAACCCUUGUCUCUGAACCUGAAGGAUCACUACAGCGAGUCCUUGGAUCAGCUCAUCUCCUCCAUGUCAUCCUGGCCCGUCUCUCCUGGUCCGAUGGACAGCGCCGAGUCCUACCUGAACCUGCUCAACCUCUGCAACAGCAAUAAACCCGAGGCUGCGCUCACCGGCGACCCUUUUAUUAAGACCAACGGCGCCGCAGACAAUAAAGAGACCAGUAAUGAGAUUGUACCGUACACGUCACGGAACUCCACCAGCACGGAUGAAAAGUGCGAGGACCCUUUUGUGCUCUUCCUCCUUCUCAUAUAGUCGUCCCCUCUGUCUGUCACUCUCUAACAUACAUCCCGUCGCCUGCUGCUGCCUCUAGCUCUCAGUUAAUGCGCUCCAUCAUGUCCCCCUCCCUGUCCCUCUGAUCAUGUGCUGCACCAGCCUGGGGAGCCCACAGUUCGCUCCUCUCUCUCCUCAUCUCCUCCAUCCUAACAGCCCUCUCUCUUGCCUCUAUGUGUCCAAUCCCCAAACUUGACCCCCCUCCGCCCUCCGUGAGUCGUAAGCGAGCCAGCAGGACCUUGUCUCCGAGUUCAGAAGCCGCCUGUGGGCCGCUGCCUCUGGAGGUGAGCGCUAAUGAUGACGCCCCCAGCCGCUGCAGCAGUUUGUCUUUCCCCGACAUCACCCCGAGCCCCCUGUCCUCCGGAGACUUCCACUCCUUCAAUAAUGGGGAGACCAGCUCCUGCUCCACCAGUGAGGACUCGGGGGUGCGCUCAGAAACCAAGUCACUGUUCUCUCCCCUGUGCGACGAUGACAACCUGUUUGGAGAGCGGAUGACAUUUGUAACUGCUACAAGUGGCUGUGAAAGUCCCCCUGAGGAAAGGAGAGAAAACACUAACUCUCCAUCUGAGCUGAAAUGCCAUUUGGACUCAGAACAGUCCAAUAUGAAUGACACCUGCCUCCACAUCAGUUUCUCUGAUGAAGAGCUGCUAGAGAGCACCCAGGAGACGACGAAUGGCCCUCAGAGGGGUUAGAAAAUGUACUAUUUUUAUCUAUAUUCACCUGACACAUGCGAUAUGCAGUGGACUGUUUCAGGGCGUUCGCUCUUUUCAUUCACUUGUUACAAAAUCAUCUCAGAUUGCAAUAUUUUCUUGUAUAAUUCUAAUAAUAAUAGAGAAUGAAAAUUAUUAGUAUUUUUGUAAGGGAAUU
ensembl:lncRNA